UUUUUCUUUUACUCUCAGUUAAUUCCAUACUUCCUCCUUUGUUAAGAAAAUUCAUGAUUUUUCCGUAACCCAUUGUUGGCCCUUUAUAUGCAGGGAGAAAUUUGGACUAAUGGGUUUACUGAUGGGAGGUGAUCGGAGAUAUCCUCGUUCUCAGAGGAAGACAACAUAUUCUGCAAGAAAAUAACAAUAACGGGAAGCUUAAGGAACUGAUUACAGCGUUAAGAAAGAAUAGGUUACAGUUUAAAGGUCAUAUCCAGAGUAUAUGGUUCGAAUUUGAUGGCUUACUAAAAAAAUUUGAUGGCAUCAGUUUAAAGGUCAUAUACAGAUAUAGAUGUAUCACUUGGAAAGAUAGUUGUGUCGAAUAAAAUAUAAGGAGAAGUUAUAUUAUAAGUAAAUGUUCUUAGCGUAGUAGCACAAUCUCUCCCUCCCUCUUGCCUCUGACUAUAAGAAAGUGUUCUUCUUUGUUUAUGUUGUGUUGGUUGUUUCAAAAUAUAUGUAUCUCUAAAUCUAUCAUUAAUAUUGCUGAUUUUGGACUGGCAGAGAGGUUAAUCUUAUUUUACAUUGAGUAUGCAGUUAUACGCUGGUUAAGAUUUGAUUCCUUUUUUGUGUAACAAUGUCUCUUUCAGAAUAUCAAUAUACAUGUAUAUUUGUACUUAAGUGACCCAUAUGUCGAUUAGUCAAAUCGACAAACCAUUAAAAGUUGGUUAGUAUCAAUUUGUGUGGUACUCCUUCAGGUGCAAUCAUUCUCGGACCCCAAUAUUUUACCCUUUUUCAUGAUCUUUCAGUGGCUCUGCUCUAGGAUCCAUGCAACAGACCGGCUUCUGCAGGGGCUCUGUACGUCCCGUUCUUUCUGGUACACCAGAGAGUAGUUGUUCGAGGCUAUGGCUCUUACCGUUCCUGUCUUAGAAGACUGAUGGCUAUUCAUAGUUUACAUUUUAUUCAUUUUAAAAUCACUAAUGAGCUCCAUUGACUGUAUUUUCGUAGAUUCAGCCCCAAGUGUGACACGUUAUAUUCCAAACGAGGGUCUACCAAUGGGAUAGGCAAUCUGGGGAUAGGUGUUGUAGUCGGAUCUUUCAAAUAGUUUUGAGUCUAGAGCAGAGUGAUAUGUGGCCACAAUAGCUUUUUCUUAUUCAUCUGGAAAACCAACCUGGUUAAGCCAAGGAAGAAGGCCAAAAAGAAAAUGAAAAGACAUAUUAGGGCAUAUCAAAGCAUAAUCUUUGAUCUUUUUUGGUAAACAUGUUAAGGCAUAAUCUUUGAUCUUUCAGAACCAGAAGUUAUCCCUCAAGAAUCCCACCAAGAGCCUCAUGCCUCCACUGGAAUCCUUUUUGUACGUGUCCUUUCCUGAAGAACUAUUAAAGACUCAAGAGAGAGAGAGAGAGAGAGAGAGAGAGAGAGAGAGAGAGAGAGAGAGAGAGAGAGAGAGAGAGAGAGAGCAAGAGACGUGUGUGCAGGUAAAAAGAAAGAUCAAGUUGCAUACAUUAAACUGCAUUAAAGUAAGGUUAAAUGCUUCUACCGGUAAUAUUUAAUUUUCCUUUUGUGUUGUUUUUAUUCUGGAUGAAGAAUAGAGAGCUCCAUCAAUAGUUGUUUUGUAAGAAAAUAGAUUCGGUUAGAAA